rnacentral:rRNA from 1 species
AGUGAACGCUGGCGGUAGGCCUAACACAUGCAAGUCGAACGGCAGCACAGUAAGAGCUUGCUCUUACGGGUGGCGAGUGGCGGACGGGUGAGGAAUACAUCGGAAUCUACUUUUUCGUGGGGGAUAACGUAGGGAAACUUACGCUAAUACCGCAUACGACCUACGGGUGAAAGCAGGGGGUCUUCGGACCUUGCGCGAUUGAAUGAGCCGAUGUCGGAUUAGCUAGUUGGCGGGGUAAAGGCCCACCAAGGCGACGAUCCGUAGCUGGUCUGAGAGGAUGAUCAGCCACACUGGAACUGAGACACGGUCCAGACCCCUACGGGAGGCAGCAGUGGGGAAUAUUGGACAAUGGGCGCAAGCCUGAUCCAGCCAUACCGCGUGGGUGAAGAAGGCCUUCGGGUUGUAAAGCCCUUUUGUUGGGAAAGAAAAGCAGCAGGUUAAUACCCCGCUGUUCUGACGGUACCCAAAGAAUAAGCACCGGCUAACUUCGUG